rnacentral:rRNA from 1 species
UAACGGCGAGUGAAGCGGCAACAGCUCAAAUUUGAAAUCCGGCCCCCCGGGCCCGAGUUGUAAUUUGCAGAGGAUGCUUUUGGCGAGGCGCCGCCCGAGUUCCCUGGAACGGGACGCCACAGAGGGUGAGAGCCCCGUCUGGCUGGCCGCCGAGCCUCUGUAAAGCUCCUUCGACGAGUCGAGUAGUUUGGGAAUGCUGCUCAAAACGGGAGGUAUAUGUCUUCUAAAGCUAAAUACCGGCCAGAGACCGAUAGCGCACAAGUAGAGUGAUCGAAAGAUGAAAAGCACUUUGAAAAGAGGGUUAAACAGUACGUGAAAUUGUUGAAAGGGAAGCGCUUGCGACCAGACUCGGGCGCGGCGGAUCACCCGGCGUUCUCGCCGGUGCACUCCGCCACGCCCGGGCCAGCAUCAGUUCGCGCCGGGGGACAAAGGCGCCGGGAAUGUGGCUCCCCCGGGAGUGUUAUAGCCCGGCGCGCAAUACCCUGGGGCGGACUGAGGACCGCGCGUUUACGCAAGGAUGCUGGCGUAAUGGCGCCAGCG